rnacentral:rRNA from 1 species
UACGGAGGGGGCGAGCGUUAUUCGGAAUUAUUGGGCGUAAAGGGCGCGUAGGCGGCCCGGUAAGUCAAAGGUGAAAUCCCUCGGCUCAACUGAGGAACUGCCUUUGAAACUGUCGGGCUUGAGGCCGGGAGGGGGUAGCGGAAUUCCCAGUGUAGAGGUGAAAUUCGUAGAUAUCGGGGAGGAACACCGGUGGCGAAGGCGGCGACCUGGGUAGAU